rnacentral:tRNA from 1 species
GUCGAAGUGGCGGAAUUGGUAGACGCGCACGAUUCAGGUUCGUGUGGUUCACGCCUUGAGGGUUCGAGUCCCUUCUUCGACA